AUAUAUAUAUAUAUGUUAGAAAAUGCAAGUUACAAUGCCCAUUUCCAAUUCUCUCUCUCUCUCUCUCUCUCUCUCUCUCUCUCUCUCUCUCCCCACCCCCCCACCUCUGCCACAGUAGGUUCAAAGAUUUAUAUCUUUGGUUACAAUAAGAAUCUUAUCUGCUAGCUUGAUAAUAGUCUGCUAAAGUAUCUUCCACAUCCCCAUCUGCCUAUUGCCCAUAGAAAGGAAUUUAUUGAAAAGACACGUUGGCUGUAGAGUCAGAGGAAAAGCAGAAGAGUCUGAGUUGGAAAGUUCUGGAUGAAGAAGCAAGUCUUGCUGACCUAACUUAGGGUACAGGCGCACACUGUAGCUGGGGGAGGCAAGGAUUCUGGGCUUCUAGUCCCUGCUAGGGGAGGAGGAGCUAUCUGAAGUCCAAUUCGGGGUGCUAUUUCGGAAGAGGAAAUGAGUAUCUGGUGGUAAAAAGCUUCAAAAGCCCAUGCCCAAGACAUGUCCGGGAUGAAGGUGGUCCUUUUUUUGUGGGGUUAGUGAUGAUGACCUGUAUUUAUGGAGCACCACGUGCUGGGCACCAUAGCAUUUCUUCACUUGGUCCUCCUGUGAAGCAAACAGUAAUAUUAAUUUCACUUUAUAGAGCAGGAGACUUAGGCACGUUCCACCAGAGUGACAGAGCUGAGCUGAGCUGAGCUGAGCUGAAAACACAUCUAGGUUUGUUAUACCAGAACACAACAGGAUUUAGAGGAUUGUUGUAAAAAUCAAGAAUUAAUCUCAGAUGGAAACAUGGAAUUGCCUGCAUGUUUUAGGCCUAGAAAAAUGGCCCUGCAGAUAACUCCAGUGAAUGCACGUACAGCACUCAGAGCAGUGCCUGGGACUUGAUCAAGUGCCAAGUCGUAUUAUCAGAGGAUCCCGCCUCUCAUGGGCUUUAAGAACUAUGGGAGUGUCAAGGUCCAAAGCCCAGGACAGUAACUUUGGCUAGUGCCACACUGCAGUGUUCUAGGACCAAGCCAGGCACUGGGCUAGUUCCUUUCCAAUUAAUGAUAUCUAUAUGUCUGCACCGUUUCCUUCUGAUGGUUCUUCUCAGACUUGUCUUGAGAACAAUAUGUUCUCAGGGACUGGAAGCAAAGCAAGAUUUUUUUUUUUUUUAAACCAGGAAUGGAACUCAGGGGCACUCAGCACUGAGCCACAUCCCCAGCCCUAUUUUGUAUUUUAUUUAGAGACAGGGUCUCACUGAGUUGCUUAGUGCCUUGUGUGACUGAGACUGACUUUGAACUCUCAAUCCUCCUGCCUCAGCCUCCCUAGCUGCUGGGAUUACGGGUAUGAGUCACUGUGCCUAUCAAGAAGAUUGUUUUAAGGCAAUGCAGCAGCAGAUAAAGAAUCCCUUUCUUUAUCAUUUGGGGCUGGAUCAUGUCUUCCUCCUCUGUAUACCUGGCAAGAAUGUCCUGGUAGCUGUAUCUCUAAAACCACCUUGAAGAAAUUAACUGUAGAAUCCAGGUGUCCCUGGGAGCCACUUAGCUCAAUGUUUGAGCUGUUUAUCCACAGGAGGUGAGGCCAGAUAAUCCAACAGCUGCAAAAAAGAUGGAGGUCCCCCUGUGCCUAGGCAGGGUCCCCGAAUACUAGUACCAGCCCAGGAGCCCUUUGAACCUCACAUUAGGUAGAAUAAUUGAUUCAACGCCCCAAAGGUCUCAGCACACAGCAAUGCACCAGAAAGAGAAAAAUAACUCCUCCAGGCAUAAUCCCCUGCCUCCCUGCAAACACGAGCCACUCUCCAAUCUGCCCAAAGCAACAAGGUCUUCCAAGAGCCACAGGUCACUUAUUUUCUGGAAGAAUAAAUAAGAACCUGUUUUUGGUGAACUGAUUUCCAAGAAGCAAGAGCCUUCCUGAGUGCUGAUGCACUUCUGGAUGCAUCCUGACUCUGGCAGUUUCCAGCAUACCAUCAGGAUACCCCUCCCGCUGUGAAGUCCAUGUUGGAACUUACAUUGUCUUUAAAAGGCACAAAUAGCUGAACUGCAUAAUGUAACCUGAUGUUCUGACAACCUCACUUAUACUCAGGCUAAAUUUAAAGGUCACCAUUGCAGGGAAAUAGUGGCAAGAGAAUGAAAGUGCCUUAAACAUGGUUUUCAUAGACGUUCCCUCAUUUUGAGAGUCUUACACCAUAAAAGAGGCAAAAUUGCCUGUGAGUUUAAAAAAAUACAUAUAAGUGGAGAAUCCAUUUCUUGGGAAUGUGAUAGCUUUAGGAAAAAAUUGUAAAAUAGGUAGACACAGUGUGAAGUGGCUGAAGUUUGUCUUCGAUGUUUUCAAUCAUCUGUGCCCUUUUAUUCUUUCCUCCUGUUUUUAUGCAGCACCUACUGUGUGCAAGAAAUGGCAAUAAGGCCUGUGAUUGUAUAGAGUGGAGACAGUGCUUGUCUUCACAGAGCUCACAGUUUAAUAGGAAAGAAAGAUAUGGAAACAAAUAAUUAGAACAGAGCAAGAUAACACAAGAAAUACAUUGCGGAAGGCAGAGUAACGAAAGCUGAACUAGUCUAAGUGUGCACAGCACCUCCCCCAAUAAAGCAUGGCUUUACCUGAGUGCUAAUGGCUGAGUAGGCAAAAACUGUCUGAGGAGAGGGUGAAGCGUGACACAGAGGGCACAGCAUAUCUAGAAGCCAGGAGGGAAGGAAGAGCACCAGAGACAAUCUAGAUCAGGAGUUAGCCCAUAGGUCCAACCUCACCCCCUGCCUACUUUUGUAAAUAAUGUUUUAUUUGAAAACCACCACAUUUGUUUAUUUAUUUAUUUUCUAUGACAACUGUUAUGCUACUAUUGUUGAGUUGAGCUGUUGUGAUAGAGAGUGUAUGGCAACCGACCCACAGUAGUAUUUAAUAAAUAAUGGCUGUUACAGUAUUUGUGUUCUUCUCAUUUUGCAGACAUGAAUUGAGGUAAAAUGGAUUAAUAAAAUUGAAGUAAAAUGGAUUAAUAAAGAAUAGGAAGUUCCCGUGUUCCUAGGAAAGGGUUCAUUGUUCUUUGGCCACAGCACUAAGCAGCAGUGAGUCUUGGUUUUGAACUUAUCUUAACUGGUUGCUGACCACCUGGCAUCAGUACCCACACUACUGGAGUCAUCUGUCAGUGAAAUGUCACACGGCAUCUGUAGCUAAACACUACACGGUCUGUGAACACCACCACUUCUGAAAAAAACCAUUAAUCUCCAAACCCGAUGGAUCCCAAAUAAAAAUAGUUAGCUCUUGGCUUUGCAUAGAGAGGCUAGCCCUUAUUUGUCUUCCUGGUUAUAAUGGCCUCUCUUUUAAACAUAUCCCCAGUGAGAAAAGUGAUCACUGCGGACUUGGAAUUCAGGCAUAUCUUACCUCAAAGCCUUUCUCAUCUGCUCCUAAGGUCUCAGAGUUUGGAAUGCACACUGUGGGUGUUAGUUGAGAUGAUGGUACACAAUUUUGGCAUUGAAUGACAUCAAGUAUGGAGGAAAUAAGGGAAACUCAGCUGGAGGCUAGUCCAUUGCAGUAAGAAAAGAGAUCCUGAGGCCAGACCUCUAGUAAUUGUGUUAGUCCUUGUGCACAAUGAAUCAGCCCAAGCUUAAGGCUUUGAAUACCAACAAAAAUUAUCAUUUUAUACAGAUUAAAUAGACCAGGGAUUUGGGAGUCUGAGCUGGGGUUACAAGGUUACAGUUAGGACUCUUGAGGUUACAGUCAGGAUGUUGGCCAAAGCUUCAGGCAUUGGAAGGCUGAAUGGGGCAGGAGGCUCCUCCUCCAAGAUGGUGCACUCACACCCUGGCAGACUAGUGGUGCCUGCUGAUUGAGGCCUUAGUUCUUUGCCUCCCCAAAGGGCUGCAUGAGUGUGUUCAUGACAUGGGAGUAGGCAGGUCAUCAGAGAAUCAGGCAGAAACAACAGGAUCUUUUAUGACCUACACUUGAAAGCCACACACUGUCAUAUAUGUGAUAUUCUUUGAUCACACACACUAUAUGGGAGUUGACUGCUCAAGGGCAUAAAUAGUAAGAGGCAAAAAUCACUGAGUGCCACCUUGGAGACUACUACUGUCACUUACUAGCUAUGUAAUGUUGGGCACAAGGAGGGGAGAAGAGGCUAACAGGAGUAGGUGUUUGACAAGCAAAGUCAUGAAAAGUCACCAAAGGGCAGUUUUCACUUGUUUAAUGGCACAUGAUUAUUUUUGUCCAUUUAUAGAUGCAUUCUAAAAUUUUUCUUUUAAUAAAUUUAUGUCUUUCCUGGGUUCCUCAAAGCAGAACCUUACAUGUGGUCUAUUCAUCUGGAAAGUGCUUCCAGGGAGCAGAACUUGGGAGUAGGUAAAGAAGCAAAUGCAAGAGUGAGUUGUCAAGUUGUCCCCUGAGGCAGAGCAUGGGUGUUGGUCUCCCCAGCCUCAUAUGAGGGCCCUGUGAAAUUCUUAUCUCCCUGAGAGAUUAGAGGGAAAAACAUAUUUACCGAUUUCUUUCCUUAGUUAGUCAAAGAUGAUUUCCUUGCCUUUACUUCUGGGAUGCUUGCUGCAUGGAAAUGUUCCAUAGGCCCCACACAGAGCUAGAGGCUGUCUCCAAAGAUUUCUGGUGCCUCCCGGGGCCAGGCUCUCUGUAUUUAUUUAUUUUGCAGAGCUGGUCAAAGUCUGUUGCUUGAGACUUCUAUAAUAGCAGCUGUAGAAAAAUAUAUCCAAAUACAACCCAGGAAGAUUUCUGUGUCUUUUGAGGGAUGCCCAAUAGAAUGUAUUAAAAUGGAAAAGCAGAUUUUAAAAAUGAAAAAUAACUAUCAACCUGUAGAGAACUUGGAAGCAUCCCCUCCUUAAAAUACAAAGUUUGACAAAUUGAAAAUCAACCACCUUUCUUGGCACAUCAGAGAAAUGUGAAUGGAGCAGAAAAUGUCACCUCUGACUGUAAGUAACAGGAGCAUCCAGAGACUUGGUGACUUGGGGAGAAACCACUGGAGCCAUGAACUUGUGGGAACAUUUAGAUGGUAACUUUUGAAAACUGAGUUGGAACUGGGACCUGAAGUGUAGGGAACCCCCAAAUUGUCAGGGACUUUUCCCUCCGGGAACCCCAUCAACUUUUCUAUAAAUAUAAAACGAUUCUAAGUUUUAUUUAAUUUCAAAUAAUGGGGGAAAAGAGAAGAAAGAAGAGAAAAAACAGGUUUUAGUGGAUCAACACAUUGCUUCCUUCUAAUAAACACAUACAUUUACGUCUUCUCUAAUUGUGUACUAGGCCUGUGAUAACUAUCUUUGUAAAGGUCACAUUUAAACACAAGCCUAUGAGCUAAGUAUACAGAAGAGGAUUCGGAUUUCCAGGUUUAAGCAACCUGUCCAGCAAGUUUCUUACCCUCUCUGUGCAUUUUGUUUUCCUAAAUUUGUACCAAGGGGCUCAUAAUGAGUUAUUGUAAAACUGAAGCCAGGAGAGUUUCUGAAGCUGUGCUUGGGAUGUGGAAGCCAUUCCUUGCUGACAGUUGUCAUCACUGUCAUCGCUCACGGAGGGGGAGCACUGCUUCCUAUCUUAACCCUCAGCUCCCUCUGUGUAAACUGGGGGUGAGUCUCACUGACUUUCUAGGAGGAGAAAACAGGUUUUGUUAGGUGACUGUUUCCCAGGUUCUCAACCCCCUCCCCAAAGCGUCUGGGUGACCUGGAGGCAGCUUGGAGACCUCAGGCCCCCCAGGCUCCUGAUUCUGCCCUGUUGCCUCUGCUUCCAGGGCUCUGUGGGGUUUGACCAGAGACAAGUCCCUUCUCAGCCAGGGGAACACACACAGCCCUGCUGCCGAUGAGGCUGGCUCCUCUUCAUCUCCAAGGUUAUCAUUAAGCCUGAACCAAACAAGGGGGGUCCUGGCAUAUGAGCCCUACUCCUGAGAACCCCCAAGUUCUUGGAGCUGUGGAUGGCUGGUGUGCACUUGGUCACUCUUCUGUUUAUAGCUCUUCACCAUCUGCAGCAGACCUGGCACCAGGUUCCAGAAGGGCCAGUGCAGCUGGGAGAUUAACUAAGGUUCUGACCCAGUGAUUGUCUGGAGUCCAAAUCGGUCGCUGUUCUCCCUGUGGAAACACACAAACAGACCCCCGACUCCAGACAAUUACUGGGUCAGGACCUUUCCAUUCCUAAAAUAACGCCUGUUGAGGCUAGACACCUACAGCUACUCUUAGCUCCUGGAAUGAGUAUCUUCCAUCUCCAUUGGAAUCAAAUGCUCUCAAGCUCUCUGGAUCUGGCAAGGUAGAACCUAGAGAGUUCCAGAUUUCCUGGUAGGUCAGCUUUCCAUCCACAUCCUGGCCAGUCUUGUGGAAUAAAUCCUGAAGAUAUUCAACGAGCCUUUUGCUGUAUGGUACCUUCAAUGCUAGAAAUUCCUGGUAGGGAGACAGGCCUUAGUUGGGCAGCUUUCUCAAUUUGGUCUCCAAGAAAUUGUGAGAAUUUUGGCAAUGUUGAUGGCUUUGAUGUGAAACUCUGUACUUGUUCUUGGUCUGCAAUCUCUGGAGGCCUGUUGCUCUCAGGCCAGCACUGGAGGACACAGGCUGGCUGUGCAAUUGUCAUCCUUAGCCCAUGACAUGGACACAGCUUCCCUCCUCAGCCAGUGGCACUGGCCCCAAAGAUGUCUUUCUCAACAGGUGAGCUGCUAGCUGGCCGGGGUGGGCUUCCUCAGGGCUAGCUCCUCUACCGAGUCCCUGCUGGAGUGUACCCAUGUGGGCCAGCAGGCCUUUCUUCGUCCUGUGGAUGGAAGCCCCCUUUCCAGCUGAGGGCUGCCCAUCCCCCUGUGUGCUUCCGGUGGUCUGUUCACCAUGAGCCUCUGUUCCUGCUCCAGAUUCCUGCCUGGACCAGGGAUGAGCAGUCGGAGGCCACGCCAGAGCUCUCGUGGGUGCUGGGGAGGGAAAAGGCGUGUGGUUUGCUUUGGCAAGUGGAAAAUAAGUGGAAAAUGGAAGGAUCCUGCUGGGAUGAAGCUGGACAGCCACUGCUGGGAGACCUGGAGAGACCUACAGAGAGAGAAGAGGCAGAGAUGAGGAAACUGAGCCACCCAUGAAUCUCCUCUGGAAACACCCAUGUAAACACACACAGAGAAUCCAGGGGAUGAACUGUCAGAUUCCUGGUGGCUGAAUCCCAGGCAGGAUCGGGCCUGCACCAGACACAGCAGCAGGGAGAAUAUUCUGAAAAGAAGCCAGAGCUCAGCAAUUGACGGAGCUGGAGCAAGCAGCAAAGGCCUUCAGGGGAAGCUUUCCGUCACCGUCUCCGAGCGUACAAGGAGCAUGAAGCAGACCGAGGUUCUCUCUGUCCCUUCCUUCCCACGCCUUUUAACCUAACAGUGCAAGUGAGGCACUUCAUGAGAGGGACGCACCGCUAGCAGGCCGAGUCUGUCUGUCUUGAAGGUGCUCUUCUCCAGAGGCGCCCUCUCUGGAGGAUAUGCUUGCUGUGACCACUGUGGACUCAGGCCAUAUAAAUCUAGGGAAUGAGCUUACUAGGGUAGGGGAAGAGGACAGAGAGGAAAGUCAGAGUCUGGAAAAGAAACAGCCCAGAGGUGAAGAUCCCUGACCCCUGAGCAUUUGAGUCUUGAGUGUGUAGAUAGAAAACCAGCCCAAGAGGAAGAGCCAGCACGUGCCACAGUCCUCUCCCUUGGCCUCUGGCCAGCUGCCAGGCAGACUGUGGACCUUAUGGUAAUGGACUGCACCAGCUGGCCACCUAGUCUUUGCUGGGUGUCACAGCAGCCUUUCACACUGUGGUGGUUAAUCUGGGUUGUCAGAUAGAGAGAGGCCCAGGGUUAGGAGACUUAUGGGUGUGUCAGUGCGCACAUUUCCAGGUGUAACUGGCUUGUGGGUCAGCAAAUAGAGAUGGGAGACUGCCCUGAAUGUGGGUGGCACAGUCCAAUAGGCUGGGGCUGGAUGGAAAAAAGACGGGAGGAGGAAGCUGAGCUGAAGCCAGCUCCCUUUUUCAUGAGUUGGCCUGUCUGCUGCGGCUGCCAUCACCCUAGCCCCUUUGGCCUUCCAGUGUGGGCUCUGACCAGAGGCUCUCCAAGGCUUUCAGCUGAGCCUGGGGCUGCAUCAUGGGUCCUUUUGGUUCUGAGGCUCCAGCUUCUCGGACUGAGCAGCUGCUGGUUCCUCCAGCUCUCCAGCCUGCAGACGACCACUGUGGGAAUAUCCAGACUGUGAUUGUGGGAGCCACCGUAAGAGAUCCCCUGUUAUGGUCACAUGGACACACAUCCUAACACAGCUCUGUUCCUCUAGAGAAUCCUGACUAACGCACACAUAUUCUUCCUUAUGUAAGACCACCCUUGAAAUCCAACCUAUUUUUGACAAGAUUCAAACAACCAUCCUGCAGCCAUUAUAUGCUGCUAGCCAUCACUCUGAUUUCUGUCAGUCUUCUGGGAUUUUUGAGUGUUUCAAAAAUGUGCCAAGGGAGAGAAGAUGGCGAAUUAGAGGAGGGAUGCACGUCCCGCUGUUUCCUAGGCACCAGACUUAACAAGCGGGAAGACUGUUCCUCAGAGAGGUGGGUAACUAAGGGAAUUCACCGAAAUUCAAUACUGAACAGUUAAAGAAACCAUAGAGACACAGGAAGUUAGAAACUUGAACAGAACAUAAGAAAUAAUACCUGAGAGAUGGGCCAGCUUGACUGCUGAGCGGGACCACAGGGAGAGAGAGAGGGAAGCGGAAGAGACAUUGACUUGGGGGAUCCUGGGGAACGGAGAGGAGGCUGACCUUAGUGCACCCAGAGUUGGUGGGGGAAGUUAUUGAGUGAAAAGUAGACAGUUUGGUGGGAACCACAGUCACUAAAGGCUGGAAUCAUUUAUAAGCACUGUGCAGCCACAAGCAGGGUCAGGAGAUUGGGACCUCAAAAGGAAGUUGCCAGUGGACCCAGAAGACACCUAUUAUGAUAUCCAGGGUCUGCCUGGAUCAGUGUGACUGAAAUAGGCACAAAGAAAAUCAUGCCUAGGGCAUCUGACUCCAGAUACUAAGGACAGAGAGCUCCCUUAUUGUUGGUGCUCCAUCAGAGCUUGUGGGAAAACACAAACAAAGUUCACACAGGAAGCGUCUACACUCCAGAGUGGAUACUGGGUAAUUCGCAUCCAUAGAAGUAAAUGCAAAAUCUGUGGAAGUUUAGACCCUGUGCCCUAAAAGUGGAUUUUAUGUGAAAUCCUGAGAUCCAGAUGUCCAGCAGAGAUGGGCGUCCCUCAGCAACAAGGGGUGUAGAUCAAAUCUCAAAUACUCACUGGCAGAGUUCCAAAGUUCUGCCAACACUAAACUUUAACUAUUGGAACUUCCAGUUUUAGAACCUGCAUCACCCCUUCCACAGGAGUACACGAUUUGUCAACACCUCCGGGUCUAUCCCAUCCUAAACCGGGAUAUAGGGAGCUGAGAGCUAUGGUAACCAGCUUGACUUCUACCCACAUGACUGUCAGUGAGCUGAGGAACAUAAAGACAUUGGAUGGAACAACUCCCAGCCCUUGACCCAAAGGAUAAGAGCCCCAAAAUAACUACAGAGAAUAAAAAUCCCUUCUCCCAGCAAUUUUGACUGCCUCUGUAAAAACAAGCUCUUCGUUUCUCAUUAAUAUUUUUUUCCUUUUUUUUGCCUACAUAACCCCCAUUUUUCUUUUACUUGUUUUGUAAAUUUUACUUAAAAAUUUUCAAAUAUGAUUUUAUUAUGUAUUUAUUAUCUUGUACUUUUUCCCAUUGUGUAAGAUUAUGUGUAUGGGUGUGUGUGUGUGUGUGUGUGUGUGUGUGUGUGUUCUGACUGUGCAUAUAGGUUCAAAAAUACACAUAUUCAUAAAAUUUUACUUUCAUUUUAAUUGCUUUCUUCUGUACCUGCUUAUUAUUUAGUCUUGGUUUGACUUAAGUGGGGUAUAAUUAUA